GCCUCGUUGGUGUAGUGGUAUCAAUCGGACACGCCCUGGUAUCGUAGUCGAUUACAAAAGAAUACUCAGAGAGUCCUGGGUUCGACUCCCAGACGAGGCA